CCAGAGAUGGAUUGGUGCCGUUCGGGAACUCUGACACAGGUGCUGCAUGGCUGUCGUCAGCUCGUGUUGUGAGAUGGUUGGGUUAACGUCCCGUAACGAGCGCCAACCCUUGUCCUUAGUUACCAGCACGUUAUGGUGGGCACUCUAAGGAGACUGCCGGUGACAAACCGGAGGAAGGUGGGGAUGACGUCAAGUCAUCAUGGCCCUUACGGCCUGGGCUACACACGUGCUACAAUGGUCGGUACAAAGGGUUGCCAAGCCGCGAGGUGGAGCUAAUCCCAUAAAACCGAUCGUAGUCCGGAUCGCAGUCUGCAACUCGACUGCGUGAAGUCGGAAUCGCUAGUAAUCGUGAAUCAGAAUGUCACGGUGAAUACGUUCCCGGGCCUU
rnacentral:rRNA from 1 species